rnacentral:rRNA from 1 species
UACGUAGGGGGCUAGCGUUGUCCGGAAUCAUUGGGCGUAAAGCGCGUGUAGGCGGCCCGGUAAGUCCGCUGUGAAAGUCGGGGGCUCAACCCUCGAAAGCCGGUGGAUACUGUCGGGCUAGAGUGCGGAAGAGGCGAGUGGAAUUCCUGGUGUAGCGGUGAAAUGCGUAGAUAUCGAGAGGAACACCUGCGGCGAAGGCGGGUAACUGGGCCGACACUGACGCUGAGGCGCGAAAGCCAGGGGAGCGAACGGG